UCCCUAGUGGCUCAGUUGGUAGAGAAUCUGCCUGCAAUGUGGGAGACCUGGGUUUGAUUCCUGGGUUGGGAA
rnacentral:tRNA from 1 species